UUACUCUAUAUAUAUAUAUAUAUAUAUAUAUAUAUAUAUAUAUAUAUAUAGCAAGGCUGCUGUGCUCUCUGGCCUUCGUGCUCCUGAGCCGUUUUCAAUGAUGGAGCUUUCAAAUCGACGAUCGGCUCUGUUAAACUUAAUCUAGCUUAUUUGAAGUUUCUAGAAAAUAAUUUUUGCGAUUUUUCGAUAUCAUUUACCUAGCAAUCGAAAGGAUUCAAAAUUAAUAAUUUUUAACGGCUGAAAAUAAAAAUCCCACAAAAAGUGGUGAUAUAGCACUAAAAUUUUCGAUCAGAAAUAUUGAUCUUAUUGUAGAUAGUAUAAAGAAUUUUGUAUCAAAAUUUCAUCUUAUUUGAAUACUUCUACACCAUUAAACUUGAAAACGGCAAAUAUCAACCAUUAAAAAUUAUGGAUUUUGAAUCCUUUCGAUCACUAGGUAAAUGAUAUCAAAAAAUUGCAAAAAUUAGUUUAUAGAAGCUUCAAAUGCGCUAGAUCAAGUCUAACGGAGCCGAUCGUCGAUUCGAAAAUUCCAUCAUCGAAAAUGGCUCAGGAGCACGGAGGCCUCCGUGCUCCUGAGAGCACAAUAGCCUUGCUCU
rnacentral:lncRNA from 1 species